UAGGGAAUCUUCCACAAUGGACGCAAGUCUGAUGGAGCAACGCCGCGUGAGUGAAGAAGGUCUUCGGAUCGUAAAGCUCUGUUGUUGGUGAAGAAGGAUAGAGGCAGUAACUGGUCUUUAUUUGACGGUAAUCAACCAGAAAGUCACGGCUAACUACGUGCCAGCAGCCGCGGUAAUACGUAGGUGGCAAGCGUUGUCCGGAUUUAUUGGGCGUAAAGCGAGCGCAGGCGGAAUGAUAAGUCUGAUGUGAAAGCCCACGGCUCAACCGUGGAACUGCAUCGGAAACUGUCAUUCUUGAGUGCAGAAGAGGAGAGUGGAACUCCAUGUGUAGCGGUGGAAUGCGUAGAUAUAUGGAAGAACACCAGUGGCGAAGGCGGCUCUCUGGUCUGCAACUGACGCUGAGGCUCGAAAGCAUGGGUAGCGAACAGGAUUAGAUACCCUGGUAGUCCAUGCCGUAAACGAUGAGCGCUAGGUGUUGGGGACUUUCCGGUCCUCAGUGGCCGCAGCAAA
rnacentral:rRNA from 1 species